rnacentral:rRNA from 1 species
GAGUUUGAUCCUGGCUCAGAACGAACGCUGGCGGCAGGCUUAACACAUGCAAGUCGAGCGCCCUUUUCGGAGGGAGCGGCAGACGGGUGAGUAACGCGUGGGAAUCUACCUAUCUCUAGGGAAUAACUCAGGGAAACUUGUGCUAAUACCCUAUACGUCCUUCGGGAGAAAGAUUUAUCGGAGAUGGAUGAGCCCGCGUUGGAUUAGCUAGUUGGUGGGGUAAAGGCCUACCAAGGCGACGAUCCAUAGCUGGUCUGAGAGGAUGAUCAGCCACACUGGGACUGAGACACGGCCCAGACUCCUACGGGAGGCAGCAGUGGGGAAUAUUGGACAAUGGGCGCAAGCCUGAUCCAGCCAUGCCGCGUGAGUGAUGAAGGCCCUAGGGUUGUAAAGCUCUUUCACCGGUGAAGAUAAUGACGGUAACCGGAGAAGAAGCCCGGGCUAACUUCGUGCCAGCAGCCGCGGUAAUACGAAGGGGGCUAGCGUUGUUCGGAUUUACUGGGCGUAAAGCGCACGUAGGCGGAUUGGUCAGUUAGGGGUGAAAUCCCAGGGCUCAACCCUGGAACUGCCUUUAAUACUGCCAGUCUUGAGUAUGGAAGAGGUGAGUGGAAUUCCGAGUGUAGAGGUGAAAUUCGUAGAUAUUCGGAGGAACACCAGUGGCGAAGGCGGCUCACUGGUCCAUUACUGACGCUGAGGUGCGAAAGCGUGGGAAGCAAACAGGAUUAGG